rnacentral:lncRNA from 1 species
AAACAUUAACAUAACAAUCCGACCAACUAUCAAUCCGAUCAACAACAUCAUUAACAUAGCAAUCCGACCAACAACACAUUAUUAAGUACAAUUGCAGAUUCUCAACAACACAGUUACGGGGAGUCACUCGCAACAUCUAUCAUACAUAACAACUCAAGUUCAGCAAAUUAUCGGCAAGCGCAGCAAAACCCAAGGCCUGUUCGGGUGCAACAUGCGCGGAAGGAAACAGAACAGCAGCUGGUGCAGUGUGCUUCUGCCUCGGCCAGAAGCAAUUUUCUCCAAGUCGGUGGCUUCAAGGAGCAGCCCCCUUGUCCUUGUC